rnacentral:lncRNA from 1 species
CGCACAUGUCACCAACAGCAACACCUUCUCAGCCUUGAAAAACAACUAUGAAGAGUGUUCUUACGAUUAAACCAUAUAUAUGUAUGCAAGCACUGGCUCAAUAACUUCACUGAUAUGCAAGGCAGCUCGUCAACAUGUAAAACCUGCAGUGCAUGACAAGCCUCUAAAAUCCAAACGUUAUGAAACCAAUUUAUAUAUUUACUAAGCUUUUCAGAAUACUCAUUUUACUAAAAAUGUGAAGAAAAUGAAAAAUGGAUAAAAUUUUGACUGACAUUCACCACGUCCAGUUUUCAGCAAUAACAGUGAAACAAAAGAUGUUGGUCUGCAUCUGCAGCUAAAGUGCUGCACACACAUACAACAAAACAAUUAGUAUGUUGCAUCUUCCGGCAUCAUUAGUAAGCAGAGCAAAAGGAAUAGACUAAGCAAGUCUUCUUUACCAUCCAAGGUUAUCCAUUUUCAUAAUGAGGUUACCGACUUUGUACAUUCGACUGAAUUGUUCUGCAAAACAUGAAGGCCGUAUAUUUCAUCAGCAUGGAUAAUUGCUAUGAAAGAAAGAUAAUGUACACUCAGUUCCAUUGUUCCGCUAGUAGUAAUGGUAUCUUAAGUGAUAGGAGUUUGAUUAUGUUUUCCUUAGAAUGCAUGUCGUUAUGGUCUUAGAUUUGCUGCACUCCUUCCAUGCAAGUUGUAGAAAUAUAAAAUGGCAUGGGAUUCUAGGAAAACAAAGUGGGUGUGGAACACACUGACUAUAAACUCAUACACAUAUGCUCAGUAAAAUUAUAGAAAACAAAUAAAUGUUGUAUUAUCUAUAUAUGCUUAGUUAGACAUAUAAGAGAUUAAGUUGUUCACUUUGUUUUGUUGUAUCAGUUGUCUCCUUAUGCUGGGCUCAUGGACCUGUGCAAUGAAGACAGAGUAUAAGUACAACCUUUCAUUACUUAUACAUGGUAAUAAGGAGCAGUCAAUAGCAAUGAUUCACUCAGAAAGCGUUCUGACGCUGAAUAUAUGUAUGAUAACUGAAUAAUUGGUUUCAAGCCUCUUGAUAUGGGAGACGCUAUCAACAGGCACCUGUGGGUUACAAUUAUAUAAGGAUAUUAGAUGUGAUUUAAAACAAAAAUAUAUUGAAUAGUAAAGUACAUAAGCUGGAAAUAUAUGUACAUGAUUAGCCGAAGUGAUUUGAAAUAUGUAACAACCAAUAGUCUGCAACAACACUAACAAGCUGGAAUCAGAAAAGAAUUUAAAUAUAGCGGAAACAAAUAAAUGUAGUGUGGUUUUAAUUAUAGUUUUGAUACUGCCAAAGAUUAUUAUAACUAUCUUAUCCCGGUAAUUUUAAAGAACCAUGCUGCUAGUUCUUUAUGAAGGGCCUCCAAUCAGAAGAACUGCUACCAGACCCUUGUAAAGACCUAUGCUCAAGACCAUCACAAACAUCUAAAACUUUUUACUUAGAUUACAGGGACUACCAUAAAAAAUGCUUGAGAACCUCGAGAUUCAACCUGACAUCAUCCAAGCUUCUGAUUUGGUUGUACAAAAGUCAAAUGAAAUGAGCUAAAGAAGAAACUGAGCAAAGAUUUAAAUUGUAACAACUCCUUAUGGUUCUCCCCUUUCUGAACUAAACUAACCAGCUAUGCACUGUAAUUACUCCAAAAUAUGCAUGCCAUUCUUUAUACAUGAUACUAAAAAAGCCUGUAGAAAUAGAACAGUCUUGAUACUCUAGAUUUCUAAACAAUCAUAAAGGGAAGAUUUUUAAACACACAUAC